rnacentral:rRNA from 2 species
UGGGGAAUAUUGCACAAUGGGGGAAACCCUGAUGCAGCGACGCCGCGUGAGUGAAGAAGUAUUUCGGUAUGUAAAGCUCUAUCAGCAGGGAAGAUGAUGACGGUACCUGAGUAAGAAGCCCCGGCUAACUACGUG